rnacentral:rRNA from 1 species
GGGGGCACGGGGGGCCUACGGGAGGCAGCAGUAGGGAAUCUUCCCCAAUGGGCSCAASCCUGAYGGAGCAACGCCGCGUGAGUGAGGAAGGCUUUCGGGUCGUAAAGSUYUGUUKCCAGGGAAGAAUAAGGGYUAGUUAAMUASUAGUCCGAUGACGUACCGAGAAGAAGACCCGUCCCC